AAAGUACUCCCUCCGUCCGAAAAUACUUGUCAUCAAAAUGAAUAAAAGAAGAUGUCUCAUCAAAAUGAAUAAAGAAAAUGUGUUCUAGAUACAUCUCUUUUAUCUAUUUUAAUGACAAGUAUUUUUGGACGGAGGGAAUACCAG
rfam:Triticum aestivum genome assembly, contig: Triticum_aestivum_CS42_TGACv1_scaffold_249214_3DL